rnacentral:rRNA from 1 species
GAUGAACGCUAGCGGCAGGCUUAAUACAUGCAAGUCGAGGGGCAUCAAGGUACACGAAAGUGUAUUGUUGGCGACCGGCGGACGGGUGAGUAAUAGGUAGGUAACCUACCUCAUACUGAGGCAUAGCUGGGAGAAAUUCCAGGUAAUUCCUCAUGAGGUUAUAUGACACAUGUGAUAUAAUCAAAGGUAUCGCAAGGUACUGGUAUGAGAUGGGCUUACUGACCAUUAGCUAGUUGGUGAGAUAAGAGCUCACCAAGGCGAAGAUGGUUAGGGGUUUUGAGAGAGAGAUCCCCCACAUUGGAACUGAGAUACGGUCCAGACUCCUACGGGAGGCAGCAGUAGGGAAUAUUGGGCAAUGGGCGGAAGCCUGACCCAGCCAUGCCGCGUGAAGGAAGACGGCCUUAUUUGGGUGUAAACUUCUUUACUAUGCGACUAACUAGAUUUACGAGAUAAUUCUAUAGAAUGUAGCAUAGCAAAAAGCACCGGA